CGCUGGCGGCAUGCCUUACACAUGCAAGUCGAACGGCAGCACGGAGCUUGCUCUGGUGGCGAGUGGCGAACGGGUGAGUAAUAUAUCGGAACGUACCCAGGAGUGGGGGAUAACGUAGCGAAAGUUACGCUAAUACCGCAUACGUCCCAAGGGAGAAAGUGGGGGAUCGCAAGACCUCAUGCUCAUGGAGCGGCCGAUAUCUGAUUAGCUAGUUGGUGGGGUAAAGGCCUACCAAGGCAUCGAUCAGUAGCUGGUCUGAGAGGACGACCAGCCACACUGGAACUGAGACACGGUCCAGACUCCUACGGGAGGCAGCAGUGGGGAAUUUUGGACAAUGGGGGCAACCCUGAUCCAGCAAUGCCGCGUGAGUGAAGAAGGCCUUCGGGUUGUAAAGCUCUUUUGUCAGGGAAGAAAAGGGAUUGGCUAAUAUCUAGUCCUCAUGACGGUACCUGAAGAAUAAGCACCGGCU
rnacentral:rRNA from 1 species